rnacentral:rRNA from 1 species
AUUGAACGCUGGCGGCAGGCCUAACACAUGCAAGUCGAGCGGCAGCGGGAAAGUAGCUUGCUACUUUUGCCGGCGAGCGGCGGACGGGUGAGUAAUGCCUGGGGAUCUGCCCAGUCGAGGGGGAUAACUACUGGAAACGGUAGCUAAUACCGCAUGCGCCCUACGGGGGAAAGCAGGGGACCUUCGGGCCCUGCGCGAUUGGAUGAACCCAGGUGGGAUUAGCUAGUUGGUGAGGUAAUGGCUCACCAAGGCGACGAUCCCUAGCUGGUCUGAGAGGAUGAUUAGCCACACUGGAACUGAGACACGGUCCAGACUCCUACGGGAGGCAGCAGUGGGGAAUAUUGCACAAUGGGGGAAACCCUGAUGCAGCCAUGCCGCGUGUGUGAAGAAGGCCUUCGGGUUGUAAAGCACUUUCAGCGAGGAGGAAAGGUUGGUAGCUAAUAACUGCCAGCUGUGACGUUACUCGCAGAAGAAGCACCGGCUAACUCCGUGCCAGCCGCCGCAGUAACAC